AAGGGUGACAGCUCUUUUAGAAUUUGUCUGGAAGGUUUUCUAGCUUUCACUGGAAACCAACCCCC